AUUGAACGCUGGCGGCAUGCUUUACACAUGCAAGUCGAACGGCAGCGCGGGCUUCGGCCUGGCGGCGAGUGGCGAACGGGUGAGUAAUGCAUCGGAACGUGCCCAGUAGUGGGGGAUAGCCCGGCGAAAGCCGGAUUAAUACCGCAUACGACCUGAGGGUGAAAGCGGGGGACCGAAAGGCCUCGCGCUAUUGGAGUGGCCGAUGUCGGAUUAGCUAGUUGGUGGGGUAAAGGCUUACCAAGGCGACGAUCCGUAGCUGGUCUGAGAGGACGACCAGCCACACUGGGACUGAGACACGGCCCAGACUCCUACGGGAGGCAGCAGUGGGGAAUUUUGGACAAUGGGGGCAACCCUGAUCCAGCCAUGCCGCGUGCGGGAAGAAGGCCUUCGGGUUGUAAACCGCUUUUGUUCGGGAAGAAAUCCUCUGGGCUAAUACCCCGGGGGGAUGACGGUACCGGAAGAAUAAGCACCGGCUAACUACGU
rnacentral:rRNA from 1 species